GGGUUGUGAGGUUAAGCGACUAAGCGUACACGGUGGAUGCCCUGGCAGUCAGAGGCGAUGAAGGGCGUGCUAAUCUGCGAUAAGCGCCGGUAAGGUGAUAUGAACCGUUAUAACCGGCGAUACCCGAAUGGGGAAACCCAGUGUGAUUCGUCACACUAUCAUUAACUGAAUCCAUAGGUUAAUGAGGCGAACCGGGGGAACUGAAACAUCUAAGUACCCCGAGGAAAAGAAAUCAACCGAGAUUCCCCCAGUAGCGGCGAGCGAACGGGGAGGAGCCCAGAGCCUGAAUCAGCAUGUGUGUUAGUGGAAGCGUCUGGAAAGGCGCGCGAUACAGGGUGACAGCCCCGUACACAAAAGCGCAUGUGCUGUGAGCUCGAUGAGUAGGGCGGGACACGUGGUAUCCUGUCUGAAUAUGGGGGGACCAUCCUCCAAGGCUAAAUACUCCUGACUGACCGAUAGUGAACCAGUACCGUGAGGGAAAGGCGAAAAGAACCCCGGCGAGGGGAGUGAAAAAGAACCUGAAACCGUGUACGUACAAGCAGUGGGAGCACAGGUUUACCUGUGUGACUGCGUACCUUUUGUAUAAUGGGUCAGCGACUUAUAUUCUGUAGCAAGGUUAACCGAAUAGGGGAGCCGGAGGGAAACCGAGUCUUAAUUGGGCGUUAAGUUGCAGGGUAUAGACCCGAAACCCGGUGAUCUAGCCAUGGGCAGGUUGAAGGUUGGGUAACACUAACUGGAGGACCGAACCGACUAAUGUUGAAAAAUUAGCGGAUGACCUGUGGCUGGGGGUGAAAGGCCAAUCAAACCGGGAGAUAGCUGGUUCUCCCCGAAAGCUAUUUAGGUAGCGCCUCGUGAAUUCAUCUCCGGGGGUAGAGCACUGUUUCGGCUAGGGGGCCAUCCCGGCUUACCAACCCGAUGCAAACUGCGAAUACCGGAGAAUGUUAUCACGGGAGACACACGGCGGGUGCUAACGUCCGUCGUGAAGAGGGAAACAACCCAGACCGCCAGCUAAGGUCCCAAAGUCAUGGUUAAGUGGGAAACGAUGUGGGAAGGCCCAGACAGCCAGGAUGUUGGCUUAGAAGCAGCCAUCAUUUAAAGAAAGCGUAAUAGCUCACUGGUCGAGUCGGCCUGCGCGGAAGAUGUAACGGGGCUAAACCAUGCACCGAAGCUGCGGCAGCGAACGUAUCACUUAAAGCGAUUCAGCGGGUUACGAUUGACGGAGCGAAGCGACGUCAAAGCGUAUACAAAGUCGAGUCGGUUUAAGGAUACGUUCGUUGGGUAGGGGAGCGUUCUGUAAGCCUGUGAAGGUGGCCUGUGAGGGUUGCUGGAGGUAUCAGAAGUGCGAAUGCUGACAUAAGUAACGAUAAAGCGGGUGAAAAGCCCGCUCGCCGGAAGACCAAGGGUUCCUGUCCAACGUUAAUCGGGGCAGGGUGAGUCGACCCCUAAGGCGAGGCCGAAAGGCGUAGUCGAUGGGAAACAGGUUAAUAUUCCUGUACUUGGUGUUACUGCGAAGGGGGGACGGAGAAGGCUAUGUUGGCCGGGCGACGGUUGUCCCGGUUUAAGCGUGUAGGCUGGUUUUCCAGGCAAAUCCGGAAAAUCAAGGCUGAGGCGUGAUGACGAGGCACUACGGUGCUGAAGCAACAAAUGCCCUGCUUCCAGGAAAAGCCUCUAAGCAUCAGGUAACAUCAAAUCGUACCCCAAACCGACACAGGUGGUCAGGUAGAGAAUACCAAGGCGCUUGAGAGAACUCGGGUGAAGGAACUAGGCAAAAUGGUGCCGUAACUUCGGGAGAAGGCACGCUGACACGUAGGUGAAGUGAUUUACUCACGGAGCUGAAGUCAGUCGAAGAUACCAGCUGGCUGCAACUGUUUAUUAAAAACACAGCACUGUGCAAACACGAAAGUGGACGUAUACGGUGUGACGCCUGCCCGGUGCCGGAAGGUUAAUUGAUGGGGUCAGCGCAAGCGAAGCUCCUGAUCGAAGCCCCGGUAAACGGCGGCCGUAACUAUAACGGUCCUAAGGUAGCGAAAUUCCUUGUCGGGUAAGUUCCGACCUGCACGAAUGGCGUAAUGAUGGCCAGGCUGUCUCCACCCGAGACUCAGUGAAAUUGAACUCGCUGUGAAGAUGCAGUGUACCCGCGGCAAGACGGAAAGACCCCGUGAACCUUUACUAUAGCUUGACACUGAACAUUGAGCCUUGAUGUGUAGGAUAGGUGGGAGGCUUUGAAGUGUGGACGCCAGUCUGCAUGGAGCCGACCUUGAAAUACCACCCUUUAAUGUUUGAUGUUCUAACGUGGACCCGUAAUCCGGGUUGCGGACAGUGUCUGGUGGGUAGUUUGACUGGGGCGGUCUCCUCCUAAAGAGUAACGGAGGAGCACGAAGGUUGGCUAAUCCUGGUCGGACAUCAGGAGGUUAGUGCAAUGGCAUAAGCCAGCUUGACUGCGAGCGUGACGGCGCGAGCAGGUGCGAAAGCAGGUCAUAGUGAUCCGGUGGUUCUGAAUGGAAGGGCCAUCGCUCAACGGAUAAAAGGUACUCCGGGGAUAACAGGCUGAUACCGCCCAAGAGUUCAUAUCGACGGCGGUGUUUGGCACCUCGAUGUCGGCUCAUCACAUCCUGGGGCUGAAGUAGGUCCCAAGGGUAUGGCUGUUCGCCAUUUAAAGUGGUACGCGAGCUGGGUUUAGAACGUCGUGAGACAGUUCGGUCCCUAUCUGCCGUGGGCGCUGGAGAACUGAGGGGGGCUGCUCCUAGUACGAGAGGACCGGAGUGGACGCAUCACUGGUGUUCGGGUUGUCAUGCCAAUGGCACUGCCCGGUAGCUAAAUGCGGAAGAGAUAAGUGCUGAAAGCAUCUAAGCACGAAACUUGCCCCGAGAUGAGUUCUCCCUGAGACUUAGAGUCUCCUGAAGGAACGUUGAAGACGACGACGUUGAUAGGCCGGGUGUGUAAGCGCAGCGAUGCGUUGAGCUAACCGGUACUAAUGAACCGUGAGGCUUAACCUUACAACGCCGAAG
rnacentral:rRNA from 1 species